UCUUACGGAUGAGCAAAUAAAAUGGUUUCUUGAUAUGGAAUCUAAUCUUGGUGUAGAUGCUGGAAA
rnacentral:pre_miRNA from 1 species